UACGUAGGUGGCAAGCGUUGUCCGGAAUUAUUGGGCGUAAAGCGCGCGCAGGCGGUCCUUUAUGUCUGAUGUGAAAGCCCUCGGCUCAACCGAGGAGGGUCAUUGGAAACUGGAGGACUUGAGUGCAGAAGAGGAAAGUGGAAUUCCAAGUGUAGCGGUGAAAUGCGUAGAGAUUUGGAGGAACACCAGUGGCGAAGGCGGCAUCCUGGACCAACACUGACACUGAGGAGCGAAAGCCAGGGGAGCAAACGGG
rnacentral:rRNA from 1 species